ACGAGAUAACCUUCUCGCAAGUUUCCAGAAGGUGGAGAGAAAAGUCACAAACAAAAGAUCAAGAGUCUGAAGGGCAUUAGCUUUCUCAACAGCAACCCGGCAACUGGGAAACAAUGGAGAAAGAGCUUUGAAAAUCUAGGAGGAAAUAUUUUGGAUAGAGUUCUAUAUCCAUCCAAACCAUCAAUUAGGUAUUUGUUGAAGUCAGCUUCUUGGGAAGGCUUUCCCUCAACACCUAUCCAAAAUUUCUGCACCUAUUAUUCACACCCCCAUCCUUGCUUCAUUUCUGUUUCUGCACAUUUUUUUUUUGCUAUUUAUUAUAGUUCAUACUUUAAUUAUUAUUUAUUGUCAGUCUCUCCCUCUGGAAUGUAAGCUUCAUGACGUCAGGGUUGUUUUUUAACUUUUUUUGUUGUGUACUACUAUAUCCUUAGUACCCGUGAUACCACCUGUACACAGUAGAUUUUUAUUAAUGUUUGUUAAUGAAUGAAUGAACGAUUUAUUAGUUUCCAAAAGUAAUGUUCAUUUGGGGUCUAUCUGAGCUAUAAGAGCUUUUGCUUCAUGAUGUAAACAGCCUCAUAAUCUCAUUCUUGGUUUGUCUACACAUCAGAAAUACAAUCUGAAGUGGCUGUUUCCUAGAUUGGAGUAACCCUUCUGCAUGGAGCAUAAACCACUCCAUUUUCCCUUUCAGCCCAUCACAGUCUUGAUUCUUGGCUUCUUCAGGGAGCUAGUUUUCCAGAAUACUCAUGCUGUUUUUCAUAUUACAGAAAAAAACCUUUCAAGCCUGUCCGAUCACAGACUGUGCAAUGUUCUUACCCCAAAUGGGAGAUGUGGUGACUGUCCCACGUGAGAGCUAAUGCCUUAUCAAAAGGCAAAAACUGCUGUUGAGGUCUGGCCCCCAACUAUGCCUGGGUGAGAACCCUGCAGACAGGCCACAUAUGGCCUCCCUGCAGUCAGAUAUCACGGCCUCACUCCCAGGACCUGGCUUUCAUUCGCACUUCUGCAUUCUGUAUGUGUGUGUGCUUGAAACAGAAUGUAGACUCUGAAUGAAAAAAAAAUUGGGCCUAAAUUACGGUUACCUCAGGGUCUGGCUUGUGCAGCUGCCAGGUGGGUGCAUAAGUUCAGUUACAGAUCGUGAUACUCCAGAGAGGAUGGGAAAGAUGCCCUUACAAACAGGAGAAUCAGUGUGCUUUCUCAAUUUAGGAAAGGCAUUCAAAUAUGCUUAAAGUCAGAAGGAAUUCUUUAAUACAUGAUGGCGUUUCAUUGGCACAGGGAUGAGAUUCAGCAUUUUCUGGCACACCUCCCCAGCUCUGGUUAGCGCUGGCUGCCCCACAUUCACAGGGGAAGCCUGAAGGCCUUGAGCUCAUAAACUCCUUUUUUAUGCAGAGGGAAGAGGAUGGGGAAACGCACUUACAGGAUGUCUGCUACGUGUCAGAAAUGGUACACAUUAAGUCAUUGGAUCUGCAAAGCAUCCCGUUGGGUUGGUAUGGUGUCCCAUCUUACAGAUAAGGAAAAGUUAGCUCUGAAGUUCCAAGUAACUUGCCUGAUGUUACAGUUAGUAAAGGGUUUAACUAACUUACACAUCCGAUACUGUGCAUCGGCAGAACCCAUGCUCUCACCCAUGAAGCAUACAGCCUCUGAAAUUCUGCAUUUAGUCACAUCCUCUAACCUUCCUCUCUGGACGAUCUGCACUGACCUCACACUUUUAGCCUGACCAGCAGCUUAAAGAUGUUGAAGCAGGUUGGGAAGAAGAGUCCUGUCUUUAAGCCAACUGAAGGAAAUGUUGACACGUGGUUAGACAAUCCACACGCUGGGGAAAGGGAGGGCUCUCCGUGAUGGUGUUGAAAUGAACCUCAGAACACUUGGAGCCCUUCUGAGGAGCCUGGGCCCUUAGGGGCUCUUCCAUCUCAGUGGCUCUGUGUGGCAAGGUGGAUUUCCCCCCAAGAACUCUUGGUCACAUUUUACAAAAAACAAAGUGCGUUUGGCAGGUCACAUCCUCAUAUAUUUUUGAAUCUCAGAAUCAGUUCCAGAAUGUAGGACAUCUUCUAAAUUGUUCUUGACCUUAAUAGGGCAUGCAGGGAUUUGCAGUGUGAACUUGCUGUAGUCUGAAUGUUUGUGUCCUCCUCCAAGUUCAUACUGUACAACCCUAACCGCCAGUGUGAUGGCGUUAGGAUGUGGGGAUUCUGGGAGGUAAUUAGGUCAUGAGGGUGGGGCCCCCUGAGGAGAUCAGGAGCCUUAUAAGAGGAGGCACCAGAGAGCUUGUCUUUUCUCUGUUACAUGCCUUGUGAGAAGCAAGGAGAAGAUUGCCAUCUGCAAACCACGAAGCGGGCCCUACCCACACACCAGAUCAACUGGCACCUUGGUCCUGAACAUUUCUGCCUCUGGAACUGAACAGUCUUUCUUAUGGGUGAACUGAGAGCCAAAUGGAUAAACCUGGAGACUUGAACCUCACUCAUUUCCUGCAAGGCCCAUAGAAGAAAUUCCAUUCCUGGCUGGCUCCAGCACUCCCGCGCCCAACACGAGUAGGGUUAAGAGAGCACAGAGCUGUACUCCAGAUGGAAAGCCUCUGCCUGGCAGUGAUGUGGGACCUGUGUCAUCUUCACAUUGCUCCUUAGGUACGACUAACAGAAACUGGAGGCCUAGACUUCCCACUUGUGCCAUUUAAUUAAAUACGUGAUCUCAAAAAAAAAAAAAAAAAAAAAAAAAGGAAAAGCAGAUAUGCUGUGGCUUUUGUAUCUCAUUUGUAAAUUGAGGGCCCUGGAUGACUAACCUAAGAUGAAGUAUAUACAAAUUUUAAUGUUAAAAAUCAAUAUUGAUAAUGCAAAUAACAAUAGGCUUCUUGUUUGUUUCUUUGUUUCUUUUAAGGACAGAUAGGACAAUGUCUGAACUCAGUCUGCUCUGGUUGUCAUAUGCAACCAAGGAAACAAAAUCAGGACACCUCCCCACAGCUUUCUUCUCUUUUCUUCUCUACGCAAGGCAUUUGCUAGGCUUUAUGUGGCAAAAUCCAGCUGUCUUCUGCAGCAGCCAGACCCUGAAGCCUUUUGUGGGUUGAUCCUGUUCCUGGCCCCUCUCUUCCCUGUUCUCUGUCUGCAAACUCAAGAUACUGAGGCAGAACCUGGAAAUGGCAGGUGAAGCAUAUGAAACACCACACCAGUGGUGACACUGCAAAGAGAUCUAAAUCCUCAUGACCUGUGCAUGUAAUUAAAGGGCCAGAAAAAAAAUCACAAAAAAAGGAAAAGGACAGCAAGAUAGAAAGUGAACACCCAGCAUGAAGGAAACAAAUGAUAAGGUGGAUAAACUCCUGCUUUUCUUAAAAGCUUGUUGGAGGGAAAAGCUAUGCCAAAUAUGUGCCAAGCUCCUCGGUACUUUUGUGUGGUGGGGGCAACAGCCCCCCAUUCAUGGCUUCCCCUAACAGUUAAGGGUGUUGGCCACACUGCACCUCUUCUUUCUGGAGCCAUUCCUGUCCUCCCCCAGGAUGCCAGACAGAGGCAUGGGGCUGCUGCAAACCCACAUGACUGGGUUCAGAAGCCACCCAUCCAGGUUUCUGAGACUGGGGUCCUCCUGAGAAGUGAACUCACUCCAUGGUCUCUCCCUUGCUAUUCCUUAUACUAGGAACACAGUCCAGUACACUAGCCUCUUGCACCAGAGGCUGACCCCAGCCAGAUCUGCAUGUUCCCAGCCCUAAAGAUACAGCUUGGACUUGCUGCUUCCUCUGGAAGUGAAUUCUCAAUGCUUGAUGUUAAAUCAGUGAAGUUUCUCAGUACUUGUGUUUUUACAAACAAGAUCAAGUUCACAUUUGGAUGCAGGGGCAUGUGCUCAUAAGUAUAUAAAUACACAUACACAGUAAUAAGGGGGGCAUCACGUAGUGCCUUCUA